CUGUAUUUCCUGGCUGUCCCUGGUGUGUGCUUCCAUCUGCAGUGAGUGUGCAUGGUCUGUGUCUAAGCACAGCUCCUCCCCCCGGGAAGAGCCUCACCAUGGCUCCCCCCGCCCUGUACAAGGCCUGCGUGUGUGAGAGGGACUGAGGGGAAAGAAGGAUUUAUAAUCCAUAGAGGAUGUAGAAAAGCUUGCUUUGAGUCAAUAUUCAAGAAAAAAGUUGCUGAAUUACAUUUCCUGUUUUCUUCUUGUAUCUCUUCAGUUCCAAGCCUUGGAACUGUGAAGGUCACUGUGUCGGCAGUGAGGGAUAAGAAGGAGGGGAAAUAGAGGGUCACAAAGACUUCCUUUGACCCUUACCAGUGGAUGCCAGGCAUUUGCUUCCAGAUAAAUUUGAGUUCAGAAGUUUCACCAUCUUUAGAGAACUGACGUGCUUGUGUGGGGGCGAUCCGUGCAGUUUCCAGUAACAGAUGACAGAAUGACUUGGAAGAUCACGGAGCUUCUAAAGCUUCUAGGGGAAUGUGAAGGCUUUAAUCUUCAGCGGCCUGAUUGAACUUUAAGAAGGGCUCUCAGAGGUUUUGGACAUGGAGGACUCCUGCACAGAAGUCCGA
rnacentral:lncRNA from 1 species